rnacentral:misc_RNA from 1 species
AAGUCGUAACAAGGUUUCCGUAGGUGAACCUGCGGAAGGAUCAUUAACACGUUAUCCACGUAUCAACCAAAGCGAACUGUUUUCAAUAUCUCCCUUUAUAGAUUAACUGAGCUGAACCGACCUGCGAGUAUGAAUGGGUCCCGAAAGGGAUAAUCGCGGGUUCGUCAACUGAAUGAGCUUUUUGGUGAGUUCGACGGCUGUAUUAAUCAUAAAGACAAAAGUCUUAUCAUGAAUGUUUCCACUUCUGCAAGUCAUGAUAGGGUGACCCCCCAUAUAACUUAUUUAACCCCCUUUUUGCUAGUUGACUUUUAUAUGUUGUUCUUUGCGAAAGCAUGGAGCACACGUUUAUUUAUUUGAACGUUAAAAAUACAACUCUUAGCAAUGGAUAUCUUGGUUCUC